AGUGAACGCUGGCGGUAGGCCUUACACAUGCAAGUCGAACGGCAGCACAGUAAGAGCUUGCUCUUACGGGUGGCGAGUGGCGGACGGGUGAGGAAUACAUCGGAAUCUACUUUUUCGUGGGGGAGAAGGUAGGGAGACUUACGCUAAUACCGCAUAAGACCUACGGGUGAAAGCAGUGGAUCUUCGGACCUUGCGCGAUUGAAUGAGCCGAUGUCGGAUUAGCUAGUUGGAGGGGUAAAGGCCCACCAAGGCGACGAUCCGUAGCUGGUCUGAGAGGAUGAUCAGCCACACUGGAACUGAGACACGGUCCAGACUCCUACGGGAGGCAGCAGUGGGGAAUAUUGGACAAUGGGCGCAAGCCUGAUCCAGCCAUACCGCGUGGGUGAAGAAGGCCUUCGGGUUGUAAAGCCCUUUUGUUGGGAAAGAAAAGCAGCAGGUUAAUACCCCGCUGUUCUGACGGUACCCAAAGAAUAAGCACCGGCUAACUUCGUG
rnacentral:rRNA from 1 species